GACAGAGGGGGCAAGCGUUGUCCGGACUGACUGGGCGUAAAGCGCGCGCAGGCGGAAGCGGGCGUCGGUGCGGAAAGGUCGCCGCUUAACGGCGGAGAGCGUACCGAUACGCCGCAUCUGGAGCGCGGGCGAGGGUGGUGGAAUUGCCGGUGUAGUGGUGAAAUGCGUAGAGAUCGGCAGGAACACCCGUGGCGCAAGCGGCCACCUAGCCCGAUGCUGACGCUGAGGCGCGACAGCGUGGGGAGCGAACUGG
rnacentral:rRNA from 1 species